AUCAGACCCGGCAAACCUUUGUAAUCCAAAGGUAGAUUGGAUUUUCAGUUCUUCGAUCUGGUUUGUUAGGGCUUUUAUUUCUUCUUGUAAUUUCUCGUUUUCAUUUAUUGCCAUGUCCAGGCCAGCUGGUUCUGGGACAGAGCACUAAUAGUGAUCUGCAGAAGUGCAUCGCACAGGCAGAUCAGUUUUUCGGCUGUCCGGCUCUGGUCUGCUUUGAAAUACGAUUUUGUCUUUACUUGCGGUCAUGGUCACUCAAAGCGGAAAAAAAUUAGCUGCAUUUGCGCAUGUGGAUGUGACGUCAGCGCUGUAGGUGCAAAGAGCCCAUAAUAUCCAGAGAGCGACUUGAGCUCGUUUUGACAUGCCUGUGUUCUUUCUGGAAUAUUUCUGACUGGUCAACUCGGAAACUAAAUUUAAAGACACCAAUGUGUAGCCAACAUGUGUCCUGUUAUAAGGAUAUAAGGCAUUUUGGGGUUUGUUUUGACAUGAAUCCACUAGCUGCAUGCGUAACCACGCGUAAUGACGCGACUGACUUUG